GAUAUUCGACGUCAUAAACACGAUCAACUUUGGUGUUUAUGACGUCGAUAUUCGACGUCAUAAACACGAUCAACUUUGGUGUUUAUGACGUCGAUAUUCGACGUCAUAAACACGGUCAACUUUGGUGUUACACGAUCAACUUUGGUGUUUAUGACGUCGAUAUUCGACGUCAUAAACACGAUCAACUUUGGUGUUUUUAAGACGUCGAUAUUCGGCGUCAUAAACACGGUCAACUUUGGUGUUUAUGACGUCAUAAACACGAUC